rnacentral:lncRNA from 1 species
AAACUUGUGGGAGUUCUCAUCAGAUGUUCUCAAUUUUCCCAAGGAAGUAGGUGGAGAGGUCAUCUUUGAGAGUAAAUAGGCAGGGGAGGAAAUAGAGCUGGAGGAGAAGGCUGGCUGCUGUGGUGAAUUCCAAGACAAGGAUCACCACCGAAGCAUAAUCUUGCUGUAGACAUGAUUGCUUUGGGCGUAGGCUCCCAUGUCAGUGCCAAAAACGCUAAGACUUGGAGAAAGGAGAGGAGAAAGUAGAGCUACUUCCUCUGUAUGCUUUGCUGCUUGGAAAGGAGACAGAAAAACAGCAGGAAAUGCUCACUUCUUCUCUUGGGAUCUUUCAGGGACCUCCCACCUGAACAGGACGAUUGAACUUUGCUUUGGUAAGGGAUGACUUGCUGGAAGAUGAAAAGCCUUGUGGUGGAACAUGAGUGGAGCUCUUCACAGCUCCCCAGGCAUUGCUGGUGCAGCACGGGGCAGAGGGUGUGGUACAGGUGAGGAGGUGGGUGUGGCUCCAGCUCACGGCCGACAGCUUUCCUGUUCCCUGCUAGGGCAGCUCUGUUCUGAGUUUCCUCGACUGACUUCAAUGGACCUGUUUCUAGAGGGGCAUGAAGGUGGCUGUGACUUCAUAAGCAGUACAAAGUGUGGUGAUUAUUCCCAAGGAAAGUGCAUUUUAAUUAGGGAGACAAGAACAAUUACACGUGCAGUAGUUAAAAGCUAUACAAAAGCCUAUGAUUAAGUGGUGAGUUGUGAAUAACAGGCUACCCAUGCUGUGAUUCUCUUAGCGAUGACACAAGCGACAUCUUGGAAGAGGCAAAACUUGAGACAGGUCUUCAAGGAUUGGUGCCAUCUGGACAGGUUGAAGAGGAGUAGGAGGGCUUUCGGAUGUGGAGAAUGGCAUGCACAAAAGCACGGAGGUGAGAAUGCACAUAUGUGUCUGGGACUUCUAAAACAGGGCAGCCUGAUUGGAUUGGAGCCUUUGGGCAAUGAUGAGUGAGCAAUAAAAUGGAAGAGAACAGGGUCAGAAGGGGCAGACAGGAGUUACCCAUCCUCAUAACAUGCAUUCACUUCUCAACUCCAUUACAAACCCACACCAAAUUUUUCUGUGUUGACUAUUUGAGUAUUGUAAUUUAAAAAGAGUAAUCCGUGUACAGAGCCCUGUACUGGGUUACAGAGUCUGUCUUAGUUGAGUUUUCCCCAGAAGCAGACACAGAUAGAAAGAGUCCAGAGCAAGUAGUUUACUAGGGAGGUCAUUCUAGGAAACUUUAGCAGAGGGGCAGGAAAGUGAGACAGGAAGGGAAAGGAAGGCAGUCAGGGAAGUGCUAUUAAGAUACCAACAUGGACAAAUGGAGCAAAAUCCCAGUGGUGAACUCUAGAAAUCAGUGUAUAAAAUGUGCCUCAGAGUGAACUCAUCUGGGAGGUGAGGAAGUUGGGGUAUUUAUCCACCAGUUGCCAUCAGUCACUGGGUGAGGGCUGCUUUUGAGGCAACACUUUAUGCCAGUUGGAUUAUGGUCCAUUGGGAGAAAGAUCAAUUAAGGUGAAACCCCAGUAGAGAAAGCACUGGAGAACAACAUUCAUUCUUCCUUAAUAAAUCUUAGUUUUAAAUAUUUGCUUUGAGUUUUGUUCCAUUAAUAAAGAAAAUAAGAAGGAAAACC